rnacentral:rRNA from 1 species
GACGAACGCUGGCGGCGUGCCUAAUACAUGCAAGUCGAGCGCAGGAAAUCGACGGAACCCUUCGGGGGGAAGUCGACGGAAUGAGCGGCGGACGGGUGAGUAACACGUAAAGAACCUGCCCUCAGGUCUGGGAUAACCACGAGAAAUCGGGGCUAAUACCGGAUGGGUCAUCGGACCGCAUGGUCCGAGGAUGAAAGGCGCUCCGGCGCCGCCUGGGGAUGGCUUUGCGGUGCAUUAGCUAGUUGGUGGGGUAAUGGCCCACCAAGGCGACGAUGCAUAGCCGACCUGAGAGGGUGAUCGGCCACACUGGGGCUGAGACACGGCCCAGACUCCUACGGGAGGCAGCAGUAGGGAAUCUUCCACAAUGGACGAAAGUCUGAUGGAGCAACGCCGCGUGAACGAUGAAGGCCUUCGGGUCGUAAGGUUCUGUUGUAAGGGAAGAACAAGUGCCGCAGGCAAUGGCGGCACCUUGACGGUACCUUGCGAGAAAGCCACGGCUAACUACGUGCCAGCCGCCGCAGUAACAC